AACGCGAAGAACCUUACCAGGCCUUGACAUCAUCUAGAAGGCUGUGGAAACACAGCUGUCCUUUGGACUGGAUGACAGGUGGUGCAUGGUCGUCGUCAGCUCGUGUCGUGAGAUGUUGGGUUAAGUCCCGCAACGAGCGCAACCCUUGCCUUUAGUUGCCAGCAUUAAGUUGGGGACUCUAAAGGGACUGCCGGUGACAAAUCGGAGGAAGGUGGGGAUGACGUCAGAUCAUCAUGCCCCUUAUGGUCUGGGCUACACACGUGCUACAAUGGGUGGUACAGAGGGCAGCGAAGCCGUGAGGCGGAGCGAAUCCCAGAAAGCCACUCUCAGUUCGGAUUGCAGGCUGCAACUCGCCUGCAUGAAGUCGGAAUCGCUAGUAAUCGCAGGUCAGCAUACUGCGGUGAAUACGUUCCCGGGUCUUGUACACACCG
rnacentral:rRNA from 1 species